UCAAUAUAGAUUGAUUUAGUAAUUAUUUAUUUAAUUUUUAAAAGUUUUAAAUAUUUAUAUUAAAAAUAAUUUUAAAAUUUUUUGUUUUAGUAUUUUUUAAAGAAUAAAUUACAUUAAUUAUAGUUAAAUAGUAUUGUAAAAGAAAAUUUAAAUAAUUGAAAAAUUUUUAUUUAAAAAGAAAAUUUAAUUUAUUGUACCUUGUGUAUCAGGGUUUAUUAAAAAAGAAUUAUUUAAUUAAUUUUCUCGAUUUUAAAAGAGUUAAUAUAUUAAAAAAUUUAUUGUUAUAAAAAUAUUUUUAAUAAUAUAUUAGAAAUGAAAUGUUAUUCGUUUUUAAAGGUAUCUAGUUUUCUAAGAAAUAAAUUUAAUUUAUAAAUUUUAUAUUAUUUAAUUAAAUAUAUUAAUUAAAUAAUUAUUUUAUUUAAAUACUUUAUGGGAUAAGCUAUAAAAUAAAAUUUUAAAAAUAAUUAAGUUUAAAAUAAUAAAUAUAAACUUAUAAAUAGUUAAUAUUAAUAAUAGUGUUAUAAUUUAUUUUAUUAUUAUAAAUAUUUAAUAUAAUUUUAAAUUUUUAUUAAAAUAUCUAUUUUAAUAUUAAAAAUUGAAUAAUAAUGAUAAAAUUAGUAUAUUAAUUUUUAAUAUUAAAUUCAAAUGAAAAGUUUUUAUAAAGAAUUCGGCAAAUUAAAAUAUUCGCCUGUUUAACAAAAACAUGUCUUUUUUUUUAUAUAAAAAGUCUAACCUGCCCACUGAAUUUUUUUUAAAUGGCCGCAGUAUUUUAACUGUGCAAAGGUAGCAUAAUCAUUAGUUUUUUAAUUGAAAGCUAGUAUGAAUGGUUGGACGAGAUAUUAACUGUUUCAUAAUAAAUUUUAAUAGAAUUUUAUUUUUUAGUUAAAAAGCUAAAAUUAAUUUAAAAGACGAGAAGACCCUAUAAAUCUUUAUAUUUUUUAUAUAUAUUAAAUUAUUUAGUAGUAUAAAUUUUAUUAUAUAACAAUAUUUUAUUGGGGUGAUAUUAAAAUUUAAUUAACUUUUAUUAUUAUUUAAACAUUAAUUUAUGAGUAAUUGAUCCAUUAUUAAUGAUUAUUAAAUUAAGUUACUUUAGGGAUAACAGCGUAAUUUUUUUGGAGAGUUCUUAUUGAUAAAAAAGAUUGCGACCUCGAUGUUGAAUUAAGAAAAAUUUUAGGUGUAGAAGCUUAAACUAAUAAGUCUGUUCGACUUUUAAUUUCUUACAUGAUCUGAGUUCAAACCGGUG
rnacentral:rRNA from 1 species